CUUGAAGGAACUAAAGCUGCUCUCCAUAUUCUGAUCCAUGGCGAGGGAAACAACAACAGCAAUUGAACUGCUCACUGAGAGCUGGGAUCCUUGGCAAAAGAGAAAACGGCCGACAGAGCACAGACAGAGCGCACUUCACAAACCGACAUGUAAUAACAUUUGAAAACGAAAUUCUGAAAAUCCUCAUGAAUCCAAGCUUCACUCUGGAGAAUCUGCAAGUGCCAGGCUGGAGGACUACAGG
rnacentral:lncRNA from 1 species